UUAAAGGAUUUCGUGGUGGCUUUGGGCAAGGUAUUCAAGAAGGAAAUGGAGAAGAUGCCCUUCCACAAAACAGAGGGUUUAAAGGAUUUCGUGGUGGCUCUGGACAAGGUUUUCAAGAACGAAAAGCUGUAGAUGGUGCUAGUACACAGAACAGAGGGUUUAAAGGAUUUCGUGGUGGCUUUGGACAAGGUGAGAGCAAGUUAGAUGGUUUGUUCUUCUUUUCAUACAGAGUGGUUUGGUAUGGGUACAGGAUAUGUUUGAUGAUCUUCCUGGAUUUGUUUGCUUCCUGAGAGCUACUGCACAGAACUGAGAAUUCCUACUACUGGUUCUGUUCUUCAGCUGUGUUGUGGCAUAUGAAUGGUCUCUUUUAAAAGCAAGUAUUAUUGGAUACAGGAUAGGUUGGAUCUAAUGAAGAAGUUGUUGGGACUAUUGCUCUGCUGAUUUAUUGGAGUCAAUAGCUGGCUUUAGUUUGUAGUAUUUCAUGAUAUUAAUGUGCAUAUGAUUUAGAGGAACUGAUCAAGCAGCUCCCUCCUCCCAUCCCUCCACUUCAUGCCAGCCGUUCAGGUGAGCUAGGGGCAGAAUUUGGGCCGUUUGCAUACAAUUGAAAACACUCUGACCAGGAGUGGGCAAACUGGGGUAUAGCAUGGCAGGCAGUAGGAGUGCUGAAAUGGCAGGGCAGUGAAGGUGUGGCACAAC
ensembl:lncRNA